AACGAACGCUGGCGGCAUGCCUAACACAUGCAAGUCGAACGAGACCUUCGGGUCUAGUUGCGCUCGGGUGCGUAACGCGUGGGAACCUGCCCUUAGGUUCGGAAUAACUCCCCGAAAGGGGUGCUAAUACCGGAUAAUGUCUUCGGACCAAGGAUCUAUCGCCUUUGGAUGGGCCCGCGUUGGAUUAGCUAGUUGGUAGUGGAAAAGCCGACCAAGGCGACGAUCCAUAGCUGGUCUGAGAGGAUGACAAGCCACACUGGGGCUGAGGCACGGCCCAGAAUCCUACGGGAGGGAGCAGUGGGGAAUAUUGGAGGAGGGGCGAAAGUCUGAUAAAGCAAUGCCGCGUGAGUGAUGAAGGCGUUAGGGUUGUAAAGCUCUUUUACCCGGGAUGAUAAUGACAGUACCGGGAGAAUAAGCUCCGGCUAACUACGUG
rnacentral:rRNA from 1 species